rnacentral:rRNA from 1 species
GACGAACGCUGGCGGCGUGCUUAACACAUGCAAGUCGAACGAAGGGGCGAACGGGUGAGUAACGCGUAAUCAACCUGCCCUUCAGAGGGGGACAACAGUUGGAAACGACUGCUAAUAUCGCAUACUGACGGAGGGGUUUGCGUCUGAUUAGCUAGUUGGAGGGGUAACGGCCCACCAAGGCGAUGAUCAGUAGCCGGUCUGAGAUGAUGAACGGCCACAUUGGUACUGAGACACGGCCCAGACUCCUACGGGAGGCAGCAGUGUGGAAUCUUCCGCAAUGGACGAAAGUCUGACGGAGCAACGCCGCGUGAGUGAUGACGGCCUUCGGGUUGUAAAGCUCUGUUAAUCGGGACGCGGUACCGGAAUAGAAAGCCACGGCUGACUACGUGCCAGCCGACGCGGUAAUAC